GGUUUCAUGGUCUAGAGGUAUGAUACUUCCUUUGGGUGUUUCUGCCGUUUGGAAGUGGUCCCGAGUUCGAAUCUUGGUGAGACCC